UACGGGGGGAGCAAGCGUUGUUCGGAUUUACUGGGCGUAAAGGGCGCGUAGGCGGCCACCGCAAGUCGACUGUGAAAUCUCCGGGCUUAACCCGGAAAGGUCAGCCGAUACUGCGGGGCUAGAGUGCAGAAGGGGCAACUGGAAUUCCUGGUGUAGCGGUGAAAUGCGCAGAUAUCAGGAGGAACACCGGUGGCGAAGGCGGGUCUCUGGGCCGAUAUUGACGCUGGAGGAGCGAAAGCGUGGGGAGCGAACAGG
rnacentral:rRNA from 1 species